GGGGAUUUAGCUCAGCGGUAGAGCACUUGCUUAGCAAGCGCAAGGCCCUGGGUUCGAUCCCCAGCUCCG
rnacentral:tRNA from 1 species